rnacentral:rRNA from 1 species
CCUCCUAUUUUCAGUUGGUUUUGGCAGCGCGAGGACUAGGGUAAUGAUUAAUAGGGAUAGUUGGGGGCAUUAAUAUUUAAUUGUCAGAGGUGAAAUUCUUGGAUUUAUGAAAGAUUAACUUCUGCGAAAGCAUCUGCCAAGGAUGUUUUCAUUAAUCAAGAACGAAAGUUAGGGGAUCGAAGACGAUCAGAUACCGUCGUAGUCUUAACC